rnacentral:tRNA from 2 species
GGUGGGGUGCAGGAGUGGUUGAACUGGUCGCUCUCGAAAAGCGAUGUAGGCGCAAGCUUACCGUGGGUUCGAAUCCCACCCCCACCGCCA